UGUUGGUUCUCCCGCAACGCUACUCUGUUUACCAGGUCAGGUCCGGAAGGAAGCAGCCAAGGCAUAUGACGCGUGUGCCGGGAUGUAGCUGGCAGGG
rnacentral:SRP_RNA from 1 species